GUCCUAAAGCGUUAACUCCCCCCCUCCGUUGGCCAUUGAAGAGAACGCUGCGUGGGCUGCUAGAUCAUUUGAGAGUGCAUUUUUCUCCUCCAAUCCGCUACACAGAGCACACUCCCCAUAUGCCCAAUGGGGAGAAGGGGUGGCUCUAACGAAUUUGAAUGAAGAGGGUAGCUUUCGGCGCCAUUUUCGAGUGAGCUGCGAUUGCUUCAACAGCUGAGAGGAGCGGCUGCAGUGAGUAGGCAAGACGAGCUCUGGAGCUGUCGCAAGAGACGGACGUUAUUUUCGGAGACUCGGAAAAUUAUAUACAAAAAUUAUCCCUAAAAAAGAACGCCGAUGGAUAAAGAAAAGGGAUAGAAGGCCAAGACUACGUCGUAUCAGGACUGGGGGAAACGUUAGAUAGUUAGCCAGCUACUGUAACGUUAGCAUUACUAGCGAUAAGAAAUUGGUGUCUGACUUGGCGUCUGUUGAAAUGUAACGUUUAUAAAUGCAUUUACGACAAAAUAAGUGGACCUCUCUAAAAAAAGAUCCAAACAUUUUAGAAAAAAUAUUUCAGGGUCGAUUGAGUGGAGAAUGACCGGUAGAAUUUAGAUAUUUUUUUUUUUGCGUUUUUAGUCCUAUUUUAGAGCGUUCCGUUUGAGCGGGAGGUGGAAAAGCGGGAGGCGCUGGAGUGAAGAGCCAGUCGGCACCGCUGUCAACAACAUGCACUGCGAGAUGAAUCUUCAUAUCGUUGGCUACCUCUUGAAAACGCUGCAAGGAUUUUUCUGUAAAGCCGAGGACACCUUUUCAUGUUUGAUUUAUUCAUAAAUUUUUUUAAAUGUAUAUUUUUUUAAAGGAAUUUUAAAAGUCUUACUUGUUUCACGUUUUUAUCACGUUUCUAGCUAAGUUAACAUUGGUGGAUUCGCUUGAUUGAAAACGUUAUACAACGUUUUAUGGGCUCUGUCAUGGUGUGCUUCCACAACUGCAGUAUCACGGGCAGGCCAGAAAGAGGCUAUCAUGGUGCCUCCCUCAUAAAACAGGAUACUACUUUACACGUCCUGAUAAUUUUUACUUUUUAACCAGUUCAAAGCAGAAUCCAUGUUUUUUAUUAUUUUGGGAGUGUGACUGGUAUUAUGUAAAGUGUAUGGCUAUUGUUGAUGUCAGAUAAGUGCUUAUCAUUGGAAGCAUGUUUUUAUUUAACUAGUCAGUUAAGAACAAAUUCUUAUUAACAAUGACUGCCUAACAAAAGGCCUUCUACGGGGGCUGGGAUUAAAAAUAUAGGACAAAACGCACAUCACGACGAGACACCAAUCCAUAAAGAGAUGCAGACGGGUAUGUUAUGUACACACUGACUCACACAUAUUAAGUUGCUUGUGUCAUGCAUGCAUCACCCCCUACUUAAAACAAUGUCUCAGGUUGGUGUGCUGAGCAAUUGUAUUGAAGUCCUCAUAUUUUUAUACUGGUGAAGUGAUAAUGCCAUUUGUAUAUCAUUGAGGGUUUUGUAAAGCUUUGCACAAGUUAGUGCAGUUCAUAUUUUCUGUGUGUACUGAACAAAAAUAUAAAUGCAAAA
rnacentral:lncRNA from 1 species